GCCAGUGCUGGUGGAUGGCGACACGGGCUAUGGCGAGGCGCUCAACGUGAUGCACAUGGUGCGCACGUUCGAAGAUGCGGGCGCCGGCGC
rnacentral:tRNA from 1 species